AUUGAACGCUGGCGGCAGGCCUAACACAUGCAAGUCGAGCGAGCGGCGGACGGGUGAGUAAUGUAUGGGGACUGCCCGAUAGAGGGGGAUAACUACUGGAAACGGUGGCUAAUACCGCAUACUAUCGGAUAACCCAUAUGGGAUUAGCUAGUAGGUGGGGUAAAGGCUCACCUAGGCGACGAUCCCUAGCUGGUCUGAGAGGAGGAUCAGCCACACUGGGACUGAGACACGGCCCAGACGCUGACGGAGGCAGCAGUGGUGAAUAUGGCACAAUGGGCGCAAGCCUGAUGCAGCCAUGCCGCGUGUAUGAAGAAGGCCUUAGGGUUGUAAAGUACUUUCAGCGGGGAGGCGUUACCCGCAGAAGAAGCACCGGCUAACUCCGUGCCAGCCGCCGCGGUAAUUC
rnacentral:rRNA from 1 species